UACGUAGGGGGCAAGCGUUGUCCGGAAUCAUUGGGCGUAAAGGGCGCGUAGGCGGACGUUUAAGUCUGGUGUGAAAGACUGGGGCUCAACCCCAGGGCUGCACCGGAAACUGGGCGUCUUGAGGACAGGAGAGGAAAGCGGAAUUCCACGUGUAGCGGUGAAAUGCGUAGAUAUGUGGAGGAACACCAGUGGCGAAGGCGGCUUUCUGGACUGUAACUGACGCUGAGGCGCGAAAGCGUGGGGAGCAAACAGG
rnacentral:rRNA from 1 species